rnacentral:rRNA from 1 species
AUUGAACGCUGGCGGCAGGCCUAACACAUGCAAGUCGAACGAGCGGCGGACGGGUGAGUAAUGAAUGUGACACUGCCCGGUGGAGGGGGAUAACUACCGGGAACAGUAGCUAAUACCGCAUAUCAUCGACUGUGUCCAGAUGGGAAUGGCUAGUAGGUGGGGUAACGGCUCACCUAGGCGACGACCCCUAGCUAGUCUGAGAGGAUGACCAGCCACACGGGAACUGAGACACGUUCCAGACUCCUACGUGAGGCAGCGGUGGGUAAUAUUGCAAAAUGGGCGAAAGCCUGAUGCAGCCAUGCCGCGUGUGUGAAGAAGGCCUUCGGGUUGUAAAGGACUUUCAGCGAGGAGGCGUUACUCGCAGAAGAAGCACCGGCUAACUCCGUGCCAGCAGCCGCGGUAAUUC